rnacentral:lncRNA from 1 species
CUACUGUUCUGUGAGGUUGAGAAGAACAAAGUGAUCUGUCCCUAAUGUAAAAUAUCUUCCUCCUUUGACAACUUGAGGACUGGUACCAGGCGGAGUACAACAGAGCACAGGAGCGGAGGAGGAAGAUCAAAGAGGAUCAUGGGAGAGUGAUACAGGAGGAGGUGGAGAAGAUGGAAAGAGAGCUGGGGCAGGAACAGACUGAGGGCCCCCAGAGGGAGCUAUUGGUCCUGGGCAGAGAGAGACAGGUCCUGAUUCUCCAGAUGGAGGCCCUGCACACUGAGGCCUCGGAGGCCGAGAGAGACCUGGAGACACAGUACCACAGACACCAGCAUGAGCUUCACUCUCUUAGGGAGGAGAGUCUGCAGGUGUUCCGGGUUUUCCGCCAGGUAAGUGAGGAGCAGAGGAGGGUGUCAGAGGGCAGGUACAGGACUCUCCUGCUGGAGGCCAUACAGGAUGCAGUCUACCUGUCCUCUCAGAACCAACAGCUACAGGCAGACAACAAACAGCUCCGCAAAGGUGAGUUACACACCUGGAUAAAACGUGUAUAACAUAUUUCUGUCUCAGUAUAGGCAGGUUAGAUCCUACUUUGAGAAGACUAUUUUACAUCACUUGAAAUAAUGGUGUAUUUCAUUGCAUACCUUGAUUGGGUUUAAACCUAGUUCAUCAAUAAAUCAGAUUCUCUCUCUCUCUUUCUCCAUAGCAUUGGCAGAGCUAAAGGACAUUCUGUGUGUGCAGGGUGACCUCAAGGGACAAAGAGUAUCCCAGUAACAGUGAGGGGGAUGGGGAAAUGUUUCUCAUGGAUUUAUGGCAUUUUAUUUCAGAUAGAAAAUACCAAAGAAAUAAAAGAGAAACAACCAUUGAAAUAUUCAUCUUUAAUAUAUAGUAUUGCAUAAACACUUUCUGUACCUAUACGUCUUGACAUUGGCAGAGGUAAUGAUAAAUGCUAAUAGAAUGAUCAUAGCACCACUCUUAAGAAGUGUUGGGUGACAAUGUAGAAAUAAUGGAGACAUAUUACUCAAAUCCAACUACCCAUGAUAUAUUGAAGAAAAGGCUUGAAUGAAUAUGGAGGAAUUUGAUUGACCUGGAAAUCAAAGGCAAGUGAAAAGUAGGCAGUACAUUAUGCAGAACAGAUAAAACAGUGAUGGUGUGACGAAGGGCUCUGUAAGUCUCAGCUAAAGUGCAGCUUCUAUUACAAUCAACAAUCAAAUUAGAAACUUCAAAUAACUCAAACUAAAUGGACCAUUUGGGACAUGUGAUGAAAAAUACUGGAUCCGAAUCACUAAAAUAAAAAUGCAAUUUCAAAAGGGAAAAGAACACUCCAACCAAAAAAACAUUCCAACCUUAAUGUCAAUCAAUGUCAACACAUCAUCUGGUAAAAAGUGCUGCCAGAGAUUGUGGUGGGGUGGUGGAAUGAG